rnacentral:rRNA from 1 species
CGGCCUUGACAUACUAAGAACUUUCCAGAGAUGGAUUGGUGCCUUCGGGAACUUAGAUACAGGUGCUGCAUGGCUGUCGUCAGCUCGUGUCGUGAGAUGUUGGGUUAAGUCCCGCAACGAGCGCAACCCUUUUCCUUAUUUGCCAGCGGGUCAUGCCGGGAACUUUAAGGAUACUGCCAGUGACAAACUGGAGGAAGGCGGGGACGACGUCAAGUCAUCAUGGCCCUUACGGCCAGGGCUACACACGUGCUACAAUGGUCGGUACAAAGGGUUGCUACCUCGCGAGAGGAUGCUAAUCUCAAAAAGCCGAUCGUAGUCCGGAUCGCAGUCUGCAACUCGACUGCGUGAAGUCGGAAUCGCUAGUAGUCGCGGAUCAGAAUGCCGCGGUGAAUACGUUCCCGGGCCUUGUACACACCGCCCGUCACACCAUGGGAGUUUGUUGCACCAGAAGUAGGUAGUCUAACCGCAAGGAGGACGCUUACCACGGUGUGGCCGAUGACUGGGGUGAAGUCGUAACAAGGUAGGCGUAGAUGA